CCUACGGGGAGCAGCAGUGAGGAAUAUUGGUCAAUGGACGCAAGUCUGAACCAGCCAUGCCGCGUGCAGGAAGACGGCUCUAUGAGUUGUAAACUGCUUUUGUACGAGGGUAAACGCAGAUACGCGUAUCUGUCUGAAAGUAUCGUACGAAUAAGGAUCGGCUAACUCCGUGCCAGCAGCCGCGGUAAUACGGAGGAUUCAAGCGUUAUCCGGAUUUAUUGGGUUUAAAGGGUGCGUAGGCGGUCGGAUAAGUUAGAGGUGAAAUCCCGAGGCUCAACUUCGGAAUUGCCUCUGAUACUGUUCGGCGAGAGAGUAGUUGCGGUAGGCGGAAUGUAUGGUGUAGCGGUGAAAUGCUUAGAGAUCAUACAGAACACCGAUUGCGAAGGCAGCUUACCAAGCUACUUCUGACGUUGAGGCACGAAAGCGUGGGGAGCAAACAGGAUUAGAUACCCGGGUAGUC
rnacentral:rRNA from 1 species